UUCUAUGUUUUCUAGGGUUCCGCAAUAAUGGAUUGGUCUGGUCCAAGAGAAAACACGCAGUAUAUACUGUGACACGGAGGGACAAAAGCCUGGGAGAU
rnacentral:sRNA from 2 species